AAGAGUGAUCAGAUAGAGUCGGAUAUUUCUUUCCCUUAUCCUUUCAGCUUUAGCAGGGAGAGACUAAGAGGGAGUGAACUUCAAACCCCUUUUGUAUCUUCUCCAAUCUUUCUUCGCCGCAUUCCUUUUCAUCCAUCGCCGGCGGCCACAAACAAGCUAGAGAUUCCUCUUCCUCCUCGGUUCAUGCAACAGCGACUCCUUCCUUUUCUGUUCCAGUUGCGGUGAGGGUGUGUGACGGGACUUCUUUUUUCUUUUUGGCCCAUGGUUGCACUGCUAGUUGGUGCUGCUUGCUCUUUCCGCCGCUGAUUGAAGAUGAUUGAUGGAUAAGAAGCUCCAUUGAGUAAAUUAGGAAUUGAUGCAUAUUAAGUGUUUGUUGAAAGGUUUGAAGGAGGAUUAGAUCUCAUUUAAAUAACUAGUUAUGGCUAGAGGAGUAUAUAUGAAGGAAAUUGAUGAUAAAUAAUGAUGCUUGGGAAAACUUUUAGAUAAUGAAUUUUCGUAUUCUUUUUUAAUUUUCCUGAUUAUGUGAAAAUUGGGAAGUUUAAUAAACUCAUAUAUCGACAUUAGAAAAUGUUAGGAUGAGAUUGAGGAGGAAAGAACUUAGAUGUACAGUGUUCACACUAAUGUCUAGGAGGUGUUUGAUAAAAUGUUUGUAAGAAGAAAUUUUGAAUUAUAGUGGUAAAAAAAAUAUUGUGAUGAUUGUAUUGCUGUAAAUUAGAACUAUGGAAGGCAAUUGUUUUCUACAAUGAAAGUUAGAAUGGAAUUACGAGAUCUUUUUUUCUUUUUUUGGGGGGGGGGGGUGGGGGAAUCGUUUGGUUUCCAAAUUCAAGCUCCAAAUUGUUUACACACAGACACACAUCUUGAAGAUGUCUAUGGAAUAUUUGAUGCAUGUCUGAAAAUGGUUAGAGUUAAGAUUUAUCUAUUCCACACCUCUGAAUUUUUGCACUGUAGAUUCUUGGAUGUAAAGUGUGAUGUGUGUGUGUGUGUACAUCCAUGAUUUAAAUUUAACUACAUGUGCUUUAGAAGAGUUGGAAAGUAAAAAAAAAUUAUUAUAUAAACAAAGUGCUGGAUAGAAAGUAUAUAUACACAAUACUUCAAGGAUUGAAAGGUCAAAGUUAUAAAUUGGGCUGAUUUGAGAAUUUAGUUGAUUACAGUAUUGUUAAUAUUGGAAAAGAGUUUAUUAAACUUGAAUGUAUGUCAUUAAGUUUUCUUUUUAUUUGUUAAUGGUAUUUAGAGGAAGGAAGAUUUGAUUGGAGCUCUAAAGAGUGAAUUUUAGUGCUUGAGAACAUUACAGGUAAGAUGAGGAUGAGAAGACUAUGGGAAGGUGAAAAUCGAUGCUGACUGUGAAGAUGAGGAUGUUGCAGCUGCAGUGAAGUCAACCUUGUGCUUGUGUUUCUCCAAUCAUUUUUAAUUUCACUUGUGCUUUCAUAUGCAUAAGUUGAGUCAGAUCAUAUUAAUUAUAUUUAAUGUCUCAAAAUAUGGUGGCCUAACCUUAUGCUUAAAUCUGUGCUUGUUGCUACAACCAAUACCUGUCUUUCUAGAUUAUGCUUUAAAACAGUUCUUUCAUAGUAAUUCAAGUGAGCUUUUAUUUUAGAUUACAAUCAAUCAUGUCCUUCGCAAGAGCUUGUGGCAACGGAUCUGCAUGGCUUGGAGUGGAGGUUCAGGCAUAUAUAUAUGGUUAUGCCACUUGCGCCUGUUAUAUUUUUUUAAUUCUUAAUAUGUAUUAGGAUUUAAUUUCUAGAGUUGAUCGAAAUACUAUAUCCUGUUUUUGUUUCUAUUUUGGAAUACAAAUGUAACUGCAUUGCAAAUGUAGAGUUGUUCCUAAGAUUAGGCCUUUUUUCGGGGGCUGAAUUUUUUUGUGGAGUUUGCAUAUGUUAAGACAAAACAAGAGCUUGCAACUCGGGAAGCUGAUCAAAAAAGGAGAGAGAGGCUAGUAUCUCAGUUUUUUGAAGUUAGUAAAUUUUAUGUUAAUUAGUUUGAGUCUAAAUAUAAUUUAUGUAUUUUUAGUACUUACCAGAGGUAUGGAUAUAUCUACUUUUGGCGGAGGUUUUUUAGUUCUUCAUUUACUUAUAUGCAUUUAAAAUCUUUUUUGUUGUGCACUUUAUUUAUGAAGAGUGCUAUCAUGCGCUUUUCUUUUUCUAGAGGCACUUCGGGAUGGUCAGAUAGAUUUGUCUUAGCUUGGAAUUGAUCCAAGUACGUGUAAGUGACCAGCACGUUAAAUUUUAAAAAUAUUAUUUAGUCUUUGAUGAUUGUGGACAGUGUUAAUACUUAACAGAGUGCCAAAUAGAAAUGAAAUAAUGAAAUCACUGUUAGAAGUGAGUUAUUUUAUGAGUAGAUCAGUAAACAUUAGUGUUUGCUGAAUUUUGUGUUUUCUUAACCACUUAUGGCACAUAGUAAGAUUGACUCAGCAAAUUAGUUUGUGUUUUUUGUGUUGGGGACUGAAUUUUCAGAAUGGAAGUGAGUUGUUCUUAUUUGUAGAGUAAUAUUUACUUUUCUUUCUCUUUGCAGUGAUUUCUGAAGUAAUGGCAAGUUUACUUUGUAAAGGUGCUCUUUGGUUCACUAUUUUGUAUUUUGCACAUGUGUGACACCAAGACAAACGGUGGAUGGAAAUUAACUUCACAUCUUUUAGGUGCCAUAUUAGUCUUCUUUGUUUUUUUUUUUAAAAAAAAAACUUUAGAUAAACUACUUAAAUAAAAGGCAUGAAUGUUAUGAUUUACACGUGGCAUGAAUGCAGCUUUCUUCCAAAGAGUCUUCAUAUGUUUUUGUUGCUUGUCCCAUCUUCCAAAAAUUUAUUGAUACUUGGCCUACUGAUCUCAUUAUAGAUUUUCAUCUUGAAAGAUCUUUGAGGACAAUCAAAAUUGAACUUUUAGUGCAGAUGCAAGUAAUCUAUCCUGUUUCUGUGUCAAUUUUAUCUUCACGAUUAGAAUAAGUUCCAAAAUUGUUUUACCUAAGUGUAAAAAUAGAUUUCACCAUGGCACAUGUGCAUUUAGUAAUCAUCUCUGUAAUGUUUUUGUUCUGCCCCUUCGUUGGUUUUUAUAUUCUUAGUGUGACUGUAGAGUUGCAAUGACAAUAUUCAAAGGUUUUGUACAUGUGUUUCAAGGGAGUUGACUGCUUGAAGUAUGAUAAUUGUGAGGAUAUACAUGGUCUUAGUCCGAAGGAAAGGCAUAAGAGGCUGUUUAUGGAAGAGGAAAUUGAUAAUUACGUUUUGUGAAUACAUGCACCCCAUAAUGAGUGAAGUUCUAAUAAAAUAUGGAAGGUCCACUUUAUUCUCUAUUUAUGAAUGGGACUUUGCGUCAAGUAUAUGGUGAUGAUUGCAUUUGUGAGUUUUGUACCUACCAUUACAGUUUUGCUUUUUUUUAUUAUUUUAGGAAUAAGUGUAAGCUUGAAGCUUUUCAUGCAGAUAGUUUUUUUCCCCCCUUGUUAGGUUUAGUUUGAAGAAUUUGCAGAACAAUGAUAUCUUUUAUUUUGGCAGGAGAAGACCAUGUAACAUCUUUUAUAAACUAUUAUAUGUUGUUUAUUGUAUUUAAAGCAAAUUAUAUGUUCUAUGUUUAA